GGAUGUUUUAAAUUUAUCUAUACUACUUAUAAAAAAGUGAGUUUCAAUAUUUUUCUUUUCCAGAAUGCUAUCCGCUAUUAAUAUAAUUCCAAUUGCAUACUAACAAUAUCAUUCAUUCAACUUUUAGAGUAUAAUCACAGAGUAUAAAUCACAGACGUACAAUUUUAUUUUUAAAUUAUCAUAAAAUAUAUUAAUUCUUAGUCAUUGGAUUAAUGAAUCUAAUCCAAUGGCCAACAAAUUAAGUAUUUGUUACUUUUUUUUACAUAAAUUAUCCUCAGGCAGUCCGUAUCAAAUCCAACCUUUUAUAUACGAGCCCUAUCUUCUUACAUAAUAUCCAUAUUAUAUUUUAUCUAAUAAUAAUUAUUUUUAUACUUCAUACUUAUUUAUACUAUAUAUAAAAGCCGGAAUUAAAAAAAGAAAUAAAAUAAAAUUUCCUCUCAGUGGUUAUAAUUAAUUUGUUAAAAGAAUAUCUCAAAGAAAAAUAAAUAAUUAUGAUCAAUCUAUUAAAAAAUAGCAUUAUCAUAUAUUAAUAUAUCAAUAUCAAAUCUACGAAUGAUUAUGAUUAAUUUAUUAAAAAAUAUUUCAAAUAAAAAAAA
rnacentral:lncRNA from 1 species